AAGGUACGCCGGGGAUAACAGGCUAAUCAUUCCCUAGAGACCCUAUCGACGGAAUGGUUUGGCACCUCGAUGUUGGAUUAUCGCAUCCUGGAACUGUAAGCGGUUCCAAGGGUUUGGCUGUUCGCCAAGAAAGGCGGUACAUGAUCUGAGUUUAGAACGUCGUGAGACAGUUUGGUCCCUAUCUACCGCAGAUGUUAAAAAUUGAAAGGAGUAGACCCUAGUACGAGAGGACCGGGAAAAGUAAAUCCCUGGUAAAUCGAUUGUUAUACCAAUAGCAUUGUCGAGUAGCUAUAUUUAUAAUAGAUAAUCGCUGAAAGCAUCUAAGCGAGAAACUAGCCUUUAAAAAAAUUUUUGUGUAGUUGUAAAAGAUUAUUACAUAGAUAGGCUUGGUGUGUAAGAGCUGUAAAGUUUUUAGCUAACAAGUACUAAUACUGCAAAUUUCU
rnacentral:rRNA from 1 species